UUUUCAGUUCCCUGAAGUAGAGCUUGACAAACUGCACAAGUAUCAAAAGCACUGUAAGAGGAGAGACUCAAGCAAAAUACAAUAAACAAGAGGCUCGAGUGGGGUUGCGGAGAGCAUGAUGUGGGGUAUCUCAGGUUUUCUGGAAGAGAGUGAGAGUGAUUCCUCUGAAAAUGAUAAGGAAAGACAGAGCGAGGCCCUGGCUCAGGAGAGAGAUGAGGCAGAGGAGAAGCUCACUCAGAUCGAACAAG